UCUACAGAUUAUUAAUUUAUUAUUGAUAUCGAAGGAGCAGAAGUUUGAGAAUAUUACAAUGCCGAACAGAUGAUUCAACGAAUUAACAUUUAACUUAUUCUAAUGAAGCAAACUACAGAUUAUUAAUGUUCGAUGGUAGACGUUAAAUUUCAAUGAAGAAGAAUUUCAAUAUAUUCAUAUAGCUGCAAAAUAUAAAGUAGUGAUCGUGAACAUAAUCUUUCGGAAUUCAAUCGAUUUCAUUGAAAACAAAAUAAGCAGAUAGAAGUAACGAAGAGAAAGCAAAUAAAUUAGGUACCUCAGUUGAACUUGGAGCCGGUGUCUCAGGUGCAUGUUCUUCAGGUUUUUCUUUCACUUCUUCACUGGAAUCUUUCAUUUCUUCGGACGAAGUUUCUCCAGAUUCUUCGAUAGUCAAUCCCUUUGUCGGCAACUCUUGUUCCUCUGAAGUUUCUUUCGUUGGUAAAACUUCAGACGAUGAUAUCUCAGUACUCUGUUCCUCUGGGCUAGGUUCAGUACCCUUAGGAGCAGUUUCUGUUAUCUCCUUCUCUUCACCUGGAAUUUCACCAGUUUCUGUAACCGAGGGAGCGCCUUCUUCAGCCUUUUCUGGUGCAGCCGAAGUGGACGAGGGUGCUUCUUCCGGCACUUGUAUAGUAGUUCCUUCUUCCGACAGCAAAUUCCCGGUUGAUAGACGGGCCUGCAUCCAGCCACGCGUAAAGUACACUCCUGCAUGACGCAAGUAGUCCUGUUCCUGAUACAGUAGCAGAGUUCGCAAGGAUUUUUAGGAUCGGUAGGCAAUUGGGCACC